rnacentral:rRNA from 1 species
UUUUUUUGACGACCCCUGGCGGCAGGCCUAACACAUGCAAGUCGAGCGCGCUCUUCGGAGUGAGCGGCGGACGGGUUAGUAACGCGUGGGAACGUACCCAGAUCUACGGAAUAGCCUCGGGAAACUGAGAGUAAUACCGUAUACGCCCUUCGGGGGAAAGAUUUAUCGGAUUUGGAUCGGCCCGCGUUAGAUUAGAUAGUUGGUGAGGUAACGGCUCACCAAGUCUACGAUCUAUAGCUGGUUUUAGAGGAUGAUCAGCAACACUGGGACUGAGACACGGCCCAGACUCCUACGGGAGGCAGCAGUGGGGAAUCUUGGACAAUGGGCGCAAGCCUGAUCCAGCCAUGCCGCGUGAGUGAUGAAGGCCUUAGGGUCGUAAAGCUCUUUCGCCAGAGAUGAUAAUGACAGUAUCUGGUAAAGAAACCCCGGCUAACUCCGUGCCAGCAGCCGCGGUAAUACGGAGGGGGUUAGCGUUGUUCGGAAUUACUGGGCGUAAAGCGCGCGUAGGCGGACCAGAAAGUUAGGGGUGAAAUCCCGGGGCUCAACCCCGGGACUGCCUCUAAAACUCCUGAUCUAGAGUUCGAGAGAGGUGAGUGGCAUUCCCAGUGU